rnacentral:pre_miRNA from 1 species
AGUAGAACUACUGGGUCACAUGGUAACUUUAUGUUUAACAUUUUGAGUAACUGUCAAACUGUUUUCCAAAGUGGUUGCACCAUUUGUGUUCCUACCAGAAGU